GUUAAUCUCCCUGUCUAGAGGUCACUGUGAAGCCUGUGGAAAGGAACUGAGACCUCCAGCUGUCAGCCGCAUAAGUGAGCCUUCUGGGAAGCAGCCCCCAGCCUCAGGGAAGCCUUCAGAAGGGUUACAGUGUAAUUUGUCAAGACUGUGAAGCCGCAACGUGAUCUUAUUUUUGUAAGAUAUAAAAAUAUACUGUUAAUAAUUGCGAUAUGUAUCCUAAGUAUCUAUCAUAUCUGACAGGACGCGUGUGUCCGUCAGGAAGUGCUUGGAGGCACAGUGGCCCUCAAGCCUGGAGUCAUCCUUGGCCCG
rnacentral:lncRNA from 10 species